rnacentral:misc_RNA from 1 species
CUUCAUUCAUGAGAUCCCUACAUGAAUCAGAGACAUUGACGCUUAAAACAAUAUUGAAAUCAUUAAUAAAACAAAAUAACUAAGAAAUUGCACUGUACUGAGCCAAACUACACCCAAAAUCACAAACAUACCUGAACAGCCGGAGUUGGUGGACCAUCUGCAGGCUCUUGCUUAAACUACAAAACUCAUGUAGGAAAUAUACCAAAUUUUUCUUUGAUUCUGCAGUUGUAUUUGGGGACCUCAACCUUGCAAAUAAUUCCUGAAUAAAAGUACUGUCAUCCUUUAACAAGGUAACAACAACUGCAUUAUUUGCAUGAAUUAUGGAAUUAAGAUUUGCAACUGUAGCCUCAUCCAACACUCUAGCCAAAACAACAUCCUUCAAAUAGCCAACUCUGUAUGUUUGGUGUAUUUUUGAAAGGACAAUAGGAUCUUUGAUUGGUAUGGCCUCCUUGAAAACAACAUGCUCUUUCAGAAAAUUACGAUGAUGUUGGGCAUGCGGAACCUCAGGGUCAUACUCAAGUGAACCAAUAACGUCCAUGAUCAACUCAUCUCCAAAUAUUUUAUCAAAGAUUUGAGGACUAUUGAGCAAAAUGAUUCCUCUGACUAUUUUGAAUAUCAUGUGAAGACCAUCAAUAUUUUCAAGAUCUUCACAGAUUCUAAAAAGGUCCAUCAGCUUGUGGAAGAAACCUUGAUCAUUCAAUAUAAGUUCAGUCAACCUCAUCUGAUCAGUAAUUCCACACUCAGACACAGUCUUAAGUAUCAAAGGAAGUGUGGAAAGUUCAACUGCAGGUAACUCCCUCAACUCGCUGUUCAUGCUGUGAAAUGUCUCAUUGUUAAGAGUACUAAACUGAAGACUUCUUUGCACAUUACAGAUAUGAUCCCAUAUAUAAGAACACCCUGUUGUCUCCUGAAAGCUCAGUGCUAAUUCUGUAGAAUAUUCUGGAUCUCUCCAUGAGAUUAUUGUAUCUUCUUGUUUUCUGUAAAUGUCAUCUGGUAUGAUACGAUGCAGAAGCAAUGUUUCAUUGUCUUCUUCAUCAAUAACAAACAAGCCCAGCUCUUCUGAUCUCUCCAAAUAGUCAACAGUAACAUGCCCAGUCCCUUGGUCAUCCCAUUUACCAUCUUCAUUUAGACGGUAGACCUUCACCCUCUGCAUCGAAUUGGAGUUCGCUUGCGAUUUCUCUUGCGCGCCCAUGUCAGCUCCUCGCUUCACGACCCAGACAGGAAACCCCAAAAUCCCCGAGGAUUUUAAUUGCAACAAUAAUUAGUUAUAAUGACGUUAAAAUUAGGGUUUUACGAAAAAGGAGAGAUAUAAGGAGAGGAUAAAUGAAAAAGUAAGAGAUUGAGGUUGGGGGAUCAAUAGAAAACCCUAACCGCCAUUGACGUAGCGAAGUGAACCUUCGAUUUCUCUCUCUCCCUCUUUCCCAAUUUUUUUCUCUCUUUUUCCUUUUUAUUCUUUUCUGCGCAAGUGUCUUGCCACGCCCGUCGAU